GGAAGGAUCAUUAUUAUUGAAUACCGCCCGAGGUCUUCGGACCACGUGCGAAAUGCAUCUAUGCAAACCCACCCUGUGUACCUUACCAAGUAACCAAACACACCGAGCAACUGGGGCAAGAGAUUGCCACACGUUGCGAGCGAGCUGUUGUCACAUAAACUCUUAAACCAUUGCCUGUCUGAACAUUUGUUUUUAAUUGAAUAUUAAAACUUUCAACAACGGAUCUCUUGGUUCUCGCAUCGAUGAAGAACGCAGCGAAAUGCGAUAAGUAGUGUGAAUUGCAGAAUUCAGUGAAUCAUCGAAUCUUUGAACGCACAUUGCGCCCCCUGGCAUUCCGGGAGGCAUGCCUGUUCGAGCGUCGUCAAGACAAAAAUUCGGGUCCUUUUUUCUCUGGACCUGGUAUUGGUGGAGGAGGGGCGCCUUCGGGCACCCUCCCCGCACAAAUCCAUCGGCGGGAGAGUCGGGACAGUCGGUGGCGUAGUAAAUUCUAUCGCCGCGGUUGUCUGCAGCCCUAGCCGUAUCAACCAACCCCCAUUAUAACUUUUUAGUCCUCGGAUCAGGUAGGGAUACCCGCUGAACUUAAGCAUAUCAAUAAGCGGAGGAAAAGAAACCAACAGGGAUUGCCUUAGUAACUGCGAGUGAAGCGGCAAAAGCUCAAAUUUGAAAUCUGGCGUCUUC
rnacentral:rRNA from 1 species